AUUGAACGCUGGCGGCAGGCCUAACACAUGCAAGUCGAACGAGUGGCGGACGGGUGAGUAAUGUCUGGGAAACUGCCUGAUGGAGGGGGAUAACUACUGGAAACGGUAGCUAAUACCGCAUACCAUCGGAUGUGCCCAGAUGGGAUUAGCUAGUCGGUGGGGUAAAGGGUCACCUAGGCGACGAUCCCUAGCUGGUCUGAGAGGAUGACCAGCCACACUGGCACGUAGACACGGUCCAGACUCCUACGGGAGGCAGCAGGGGGGAAUAUUGCACAAUGGGGGCAAGCCUGAUGCAGCCAUGCCGCGUGUAUGAAGAAGGCCUUCGGGUUGUAAAGUACUUGCAGCGGGGAGGCGUUACCCGCAGAAGAAGCACCGGCUAACUCCGUGCCAGCAGCCGCGGUAAUGC
rnacentral:rRNA from 1 species